rnacentral:pre_miRNA from 12 species
AAGUCAUGGACUGUGGCCUUCUUUCCCUAGUUCUUCCCAGAGUCUGGAAAAUCUGGGUUGAUAGGGCAAAAAUAUAUACAUA